UGGGGAAUAUUGGACAAUGGGCGAAAGCCUGAUCCAGCAAUGCCGCGUGAGUGAUGAAGGCCUUAGGGUUGUAAAGCUCUUUUACCCGGGAUGAUAAUGACAGUACCGGGAGAAUAAGCUCCGGCUAACUUCGUGCCAGCAGCCGCGGUAAUACGAGGGGAGCUAGCGUUAUUCGGAAUUACUGGGCGUAAAGCGCACGUAGGCGGCUUUGUAAGUUAGAGGUGAAAGCCCGGGGCUCAACUCCGGAAUUGCCUUUAAGACUGCAUCGCUUGAAUCCAGGAGAGGUGAGUGGAAUUCCGAGUGUAGAGGUGAAAUUCGUAGAUAUUCGGAAGAACACCAGUGGCGAAGGCGACUUACUGGACACAUAUUGACGCUGAGGUGCGAAAGCGUGGGGAGCAAAC
rnacentral:rRNA from 1 species